AGUCUACGCUUCUUCCUCAAUCAAAUGCUCAAAAACCAAACAAAAAGUCCAUUGUAUCUCUUCUGAUAAACGAAGAGCAGACUAUAAAUAUUUAUUCUCCCACAACAUAUCUAAAUAAGAUUAAAAUGGUUAAAUAUCUGAACUAUUCCAAAUGCAAAACUAGUACAUUGCCAUCAAAAUCAACAUGCAAAUUCAUCAGCUCAAGUUCCUUUAUAAUUAUAACUCUCUUCACUACCACCCUAGAACCUCAAGACAUUCUCUGUGCAGCCUCCUUAGCUAAGAGCUUCUCUUUAGCUUUGGUCUUAGCCUGAGAUUUGGAGCCCAUGAUGCCACCACCCCACCU
rnacentral:misc_RNA from 1 species